rnacentral:rRNA from 1 species
UAGUGGAGGUAGAGCACUGAAUGGGCUAGGGGGCAUAGCGCUUACCGAACCUUAUCAAACUCCGAAUGCCACAUACUUUGAGCUCGGCAGUCAGACUACGAAUGAUAAGAUCCGUGGUCAAAAGGGAAACAGCCCAGAUCGUCAGCUAAGGUCCCAAAGUGUAAGUUAAGUGGGAAAGGAUGUGAGAUUUCUAAGACAACUAGGAUGUUGGCUUAGAAGCAGCCAUUCAUUCAAAGAGUGCGUAAUAGCUCACUAGUCGAGAGAUCUUGCGCCGAAAAUGUCCGGGGCUAAAACAUACCACCGAAGCUAUGGAAUCAUCUAGUAUGAUUGGUAGAGGAGCGUUGCAUCGGCGCAGAAGCAGUACCGGAAGGAGCUGUGGAGCUUAUGCAAGUGAGAAUGCCGGAAUGAGUAGCGAGAUAGAAGUGAGAAUCUUCUAGGCCGAAUAUCCAAGGUUUCCAGGGUAAAGCUGAUCUGCCCUGGGUAAGUCGGGACCUAAGGCGAGGACGAAAGUCGUAGUCGAUGGACAACUGGUUGAAAUUCCAGUACCACCUAUUAUCAGAACUGCAGGGACGCAGAAGGAUAGGGAAGGCGCAGAAUGGAAAGCUGCGUGCAAGCACAAAGUCGCAUCUGGUAGGCAAAUCCGCCAGACGAGGAUGAAGUGUGAUGCGGAUCGAAAUACAAGUAGAGAAGUUCCUGAAUCCACACUGCCGAGAAAAGCUGCUAUUGCGUGAUAGGUGCCCGUACCGUAAACCGACACAGGUGGAUGAGGAGAGAAUCCUAAGGCCGACGGGAGAAGCGUUGUUAAGGAACUCGGCAAAAUGACCCCGUAACUUAGGGAGAAGGGGUGCCUGCUUAACGGCAGGCCGCAGAGAAUAGGCCCAAGCAACUGUUUAACAAAAACACAGGUCUUUGCUAAACCGAAAGGUGAUGUAUAAGGGCUGACGCCUGCCCGGUGCUGGAAGGUUAAGGGGAGAGGUUAGGAGUAAUCCGAAGCUUUGAACUUAAGCCCCAGUAAACGGCGGCCGUAACUAUAACGGUCCUAAGGUAGCGAAAUUCCUUGUCAGGUAAGUUCU